rnacentral:rRNA from 1 species
UACGAAGGGGCUAGCGUUGCUCGGAAUCACUGGGCGUAAAGCGCACGUAGGCGGAUUGCUAAGUCAGGGGUGAAAUCCUGGAGCUCAACUCCAGAACUGCCCUUGAUACUGGCGGUCUCGAGUCCGGGAGAGGUGAGUGGAACUGCGAGUGUAGAGGUGAAAUUCGUAGAUAUUCGCAAGAACACCAGUGGCGAAGGCGGCUCACUGGCCCGGUACUGACGCUGAGGUGCGAAGCGUGGGAGC